rnacentral:lncRNA from 1 species
UGAUUCUGUGAUGACUCAUUUGCGUUCACCUGGAUGGUGGCUGUUGGACACACACUGUGCUGGUUCCUUGGUACUGUCCUUACACCUCUCAGCGGUUCACAUGCCAUCAGUUCACAACUGAACCAGCUGGAAGAAAAGCUUCAGAGAGAAAGAGGCAAAGGGAAAGAAGUCAACCUUCUUCCGUCUGGAAAAAAUAAACUGUUAGGUGGGUUAAAAAUUGUAUGGACCACCAGGAUCAAAGGGCCCAAGGUCCAUUUGGUUGUUUGAAGCUGAACUAUGUCUUUAUCCUCUGAAACUGAGAAGAACAAAUGCAACUUUAUGGUUCUCAUCACAUGUUAACCAUUAGUUUAUACUUACUGGCAUGAAUUGCCAUAAUGGAUGCAAGAGAGGGUACUUUAUAUGCUUCAUGGGACACCACUGCAAGAUUUUGCAGCCUUCUCAGUCACAUUCUGUGAUUCCAUGAUAUUCAAGGAACUCUGUCCAAAGGCCAAGAGAUGCUGAUAGAAAGAACAAUUUUUCCUGCCAGUUCUCAGAAGUAAAAAAGGUGACUAUGCACAUUAUCUUUCAUGCCGGUUAAAGAAAAGAUGACUUUUAUUUAGACUAACAUGUUUGAUGGAAGUGGUGCGCUUUUACUCUUGGCUACUAGAAAUACAUACAGGUAAAUGACUAUUCUGCCAGCUUUCAGCUAUGUUUCUGAUAGGCCAAUAAAUACUGAUGGCUCAAAGGGGUCUCGUAGAAA